rnacentral:rRNA from 1 species
AGGUACAGAGGGAUGCUACCGGGCGACCGGAUNCGGAUCUCGAAAGCCUGUCCCAGUUCGGACUGGAGUCUGCAACCCGACUCCACGAAGUUGGAUUCGCUAGUAAUCGCGCAUCAGCCAUGGCGCGGUGAAUACGUUCCCGGGCCUUGUACACACCGCCCGUCAAGCCAUGGGAGCCGGGGGUGCCUGAAGUGCGCUGCCGCAAGGAGCGCCCUAGGGUAAAACCGGUGACUGGGGCUAAGUCGUAACAAGGUAUC